UACCAGUUCUGAUGACCAGAGCACAGAUUAGUUGCUCCAUUGUGAUAGUCGUCCCAUUGUGGAACAGGUCCCUAACUGUAUACAGGUCAAAAACCUCCCAACUUCGAACUUGUGCCUAUUUUUCUGGGCUCUGGAAAAGAGGGUGAGUAAGAAAAGGCCGUAAAGGGGAAGGGUACGGAGCCAAGAGAUGCCUCCAUUUCUUCCACAAAACCAAGGCAGUGAGCAAACAAGGGUUAUUACAAAUUUUAGUGAAUUUAUAUAUAGAUUCAGAAAAAAACUGACACAUGUUCUAAAGUGUAUUGUUGGCAUGGUUAAUCUGAUCUAAACACUGGAGUGGUCUUACAUUGUCUAGUCAAUGUUCAGGGAAUGCCUCUUGGAUCAUGUUUCUCAUUACCAGAUAUGAUAGGGUUGACAUGUCCUUUUAGGUACCCUUCAAGCUGCCCAAUACUGUCUGCAUUUAGUAUUCCUAUGAGAAAAGUGAAAUGCACAGAGGAGAACCAUAGCAGUACCACAAUUCACAUGACAUAGAAGGUGCAGCACUGGCAUAGAUAUAUCCCACACUAGUGGAGGCUGAGGGAUCGGAUGUCACUGGAACUGUGAAUCUGUUCUGGAUCUUUGUCCAGGCUUAAACAGAUCUUUCCAAUGUGCCACACCAUAUCCUAAAAAUAAGUUCAGCAAGCUGGAUGGUCCCUUUUUAAAGUUCAUACUAAAAGCUAGCAGAGAGUAAUUGCCCUAAUGAAAACCAAGGCACACAAACCAAUUGCCUUUCAUGAAUGCACUGGGCUUUUCAUAUUGGUGAGCUGGCAAUCUGUGGAUUUAACCUCCCAGGGACUGCCACAUCCCAUAUUAUUAAAUGGCAGUGCAUGCAUACUGACAUUUCCAUGAACAUGUUGCCACCAUUGAAUAAUAUGAGAUGCACCUGUCAGUGUUUUUUGCCAUCCUGGGGAUGGUGGUGGAGGAACCAAAUCCCCACAGAUGGGAAGGGUCCACUGUACUGGAUAUUCUCAGUCACAUGAGAAAUAUAGAAAGAAGACAGAGAUCAAUAACCAUUAAGUACUCUGGAAACAUAUACAUCAGUUUCUGCCUUUAUCUUGUGAAGAGAUAAGACUGCAUCCACAUGCCAUGCUGGACACAUAUAAACAUUGAAAGUUUGUAAUUGUAGUCAUUGCCAACUAUUUGUGCUUUUGUUGUUUAUAAUGUAUUUUGUCCUGCACAUAUGUCACUAAUUGCACUGUAUGCCUAGCAUCUUGUUAGUGACAUAAGCAUGUGUAAGUCCAUUUUAUGGCUGCAUAUGCAUUUUUGUAAUCAUUGCAGAUAUUGCUAGUCUUUUCAUCCCUACUCAGCAUCCAAUGCCCCCCCCCAGUUCACUAUUGUACUGUAAUAGCCCCCUCCCAUGGCCAUUCUGUUGCUGGUGGAGAAUGGAGGGGAUUGGAGAAAAUCUCAUAGUCAGGUGCAGGCCAAAGACAUAAUCUGCUGAGAUCUCCAAAGGACUUUAGCACAUUUUGGCAGAAGAUGUUCUCAGUCUACAUCUGGCUAUGAUGAGUCCAAGGGUGAAGAUGGGGGAGCUGCAGCUGAGUUCCACAUACACAUCUUUUAUGCUACACUUGACUAUGUAGGGCCUUGGCAUUAAAGUGAAACAUAUGGUGAUAAUACAAAUUGCUGGAGAGAUUAAAACUUGUAACAUAUAUGUAAGAAUGCAGCUCUGUGCCUCAGAAUGUUUAACUUCCUCUUUGAAUUUUAUAUAUGAAUACAGUGAUGAUGUUAAGUAAUUUUAGACCGAGAAUUUAAUGAUUUUACAAGGAGGAGGAGGAGGUUACUUCAGAUAUGAACCAUACAAACAAUAUUUCUAUUAUCUCCCCCCCCUUGCUGAGAGAGUGUGACUUAUUUCCAUGGCUCAUCAGAGAUUUGAACCCUGGCCCCCAGAGUUGUAGUCCAGCACUCAGAUCACUACACCAUGCUGGCUCCUCUUUGUGAUUUACAGCAGGAGAAAAAGAUGUAACAGCAUCACAGUAUGACGACCCCUCCAUCUGGAAAUGCCCUACAGCUAUGUACAAGACUACAGUGUGGUGACUGUUAAGCUCAAUGAUGACCAGGUGCUCCCAGCAAUCUACCAUUCAGGCAUUGAACUGCUACUGAACUGUGCACUACCAGACCAUGGUUGCUGGCUCUGUGGUUGCCAAGAGAACAAGAAAAUUCAGAGAGGGAGAAUUCAUCUGAGAGAAAAAGGAAGAAGAAUGUGGCAACUGAAAACUGAGCUGGAAAGAAAUGUGUGUGAAAGACUGAAAAACAGAAAGGCUCUGAGGUGGAGAGAAACCUCAGCUGUCUGAACCUGUUGAACAGGAAGGCCAGAAAAAAAGUCCAGCAGCUACACAGAAACAGAGCAGGAGGAGAAAGUCCCAACAGCUGCUGUAAAGGGAAUGUCACCUGAAGAGAGGGGCUGCCAGUCAAUUCCAGCCCUCAGAGAUGUCGGCUGUCAUGACCAAAAGGCUGCCAACUGAACCCAGCAGCUGCAACAGCAGACAUCAAGUCUUUUACACUGUCAGGACAGGUGUGUGGGGAGCAAUGUUACAUAAGAAACUGGGGAAAUAAUGAGAUUAUGGGGUCCAUUGUCUGACCUAUAUUUUGAAAUUCUUACUUCUUUGGACUGAGGGGUUUUUUUCCCAUCUUUUUAAAAAAUUAAUUUUAUUGUAGAAGAUCCAUCAAGACAAUGUACAUAAAAAUUAAAGGUCUACUAUUACUGUCUCAGAGUAUGAUUCCUUUAUGAAAGCUCUUGUAUAAUGUCCUUCCGGAAACCCAAGUGAUGAGCUGGUGGGUUCAGACAUUUGGUGUUGUUGUUAACAUAGUCUAGGAAAGGUUUUUUCCCCCAAACUUUUGAUCUUGCAAACAA